AAAAAGCUGAACUCAAUAUUCCCCUCAAAUCGCCUGGCCCGAGAGGAGGAAAAGUGACCAGAAGAAUGUGGAGAUGCAAGAAGAGACCUUGGCGUGGAAUGCAUAUGUUAUAUAGAAUAUUUCAUUCGCUGCUUUACUGCAAUUCAAGAUGCCAUCAUGCACGUGGACAUCAGAGGUGAAUUAUAUACGUACAAGGUGCCAAAGGACCCACAGAGAGAGAAAACAGACGGCACGGUCACUUCAACGAUGUUCUUUCGCCUUCUAACAAUGAGGAGGUACUUGAAAUCACCAGAAUAACCAGAUUUGCUUCAAAUCACUUUAAUAAGAAGUGGCUGAUGUUCGUGGAUGACCA